GUCUUUCCAACUGUCUGUGGGCAUUCAUUUCUAAAUUCCACGCUCAGCAUUCAAACUUUCAGGUAUUGUUCCUUCUCAUAUGAGGUUGUGCAUGUACAUUUUGUAUCAUACUUCGCUGAAAAUUACAAAACUUAGACAUUCUUUAACAUCAUGCUACAUAUUAUGAGUUGUGACAUUGGAGGAUAUUCUACGUCACAGUUAUUACAAAACUUGUUUGACUAGACAGCAAUGACACUUUUUUAGCUGAUAGUAUUUUUAUAUGGAUUAGAAGAUGUUAUUUUCCAUUCUCCAUUCUCUUAAUGAUUCUAGUAUGGCAGUUGUCAGUUGCUGGCAUUAUUAUAUGCACUUAGUAAAUCCAGGAAAAGGUUAACUUAAUGACCACACUUUCAUGACUAAAAUGCAUUUUUAUUUGUGUAGAGGUCUAUAAAAAAUUGAUAAAAUUCCUGGAUUUUCUCGUUUUUGCGAUUCCUACAGGACCCCAUGCAAUCACACAUCUGUACACAGCGGAACAACAAGAGGCUCUCUGGUCAGCUGGGCCUGGACUCCCGGCGACAAUUCCUGGGUGUAAGUGGUGAGCUCUUGGGCCAGGAAUUUGAGACAAACCUCAUGGAGGCUCCAACUUCCCUUCUCAGGGGCCGAGAUUACCUCAUCUACAAGAUUGUUAUGCAAAGAGUUUCACAGUCGUUCAAAUAAUUUUUGGUAAGGGGCCUUAUCCUCACAAGUUCAGACCCAGAGAACCGUGAUUCCCAACUGCAACACAGGCAGUACAUCUCAACAGCUGUGAAUGGUCAGUGUCCAGCUGUAUCCUAGCAACCAAGCCACACCAGCACAUCAGAAAAAAACAACAGCAGCAGCAGUUUGGACAACAUAUCAAUGAACGUGGCUCCAUUCCCAGAAAAACACGCCAAGAUAAUGAGCAGUGUCAUUGCGCCAAACAUGAUCCUUCAAGUAUACUUGGAGCCCAAUGUCGCUUCAACAGCGGUCGCCAAACCAGAGCCUUGUUAGCUCAGGGGGAGGGGUCAUGAUGCACAUGGGCUUGCAACUUUCCCCAGGCUUUUCUCAGUAGCAGUGGAACAACAUGGCAGCCCAGCAAGGGGCCUCCCAAUACAACAACUGUCACAGAUCAUUGUCUGGUGGCACUCAGCUUAAGACGUUGCCAAAUCAAUGCUUCAUGUUCAACAACCCACCAUAUACUAGCAACCAGACCACAAUCGCACCGCAACAACAACAACACCAGCAGCAACACUCGGUUCAGCUGUCUUCAAUGUUUUGAUAACAACCUUCAGGCAGCAGUUCAUUACAACGCCUGCUCUGUCGUGGGUAAACCUGCUUUUUCCAAAACCCAUUUGGUUCCCAGGGCCUUGGCUGUGACCCUCUUCACAUCAUGUCAAGUGCCAUGUUUCUCCCUGGUCAACAGCACCAUAUUUAUGGCGACAAAAUUGGCUACAAAAUCCUUGACAUCAACCCAGUACCCUCUUUGGGGUAAAGCAAUGUGCCCCUAGAUAUAAACAUCGUCACAGAUCUCUCUCCAAUGGCUUGAAGCUGUACACAUCACCAAACACCGCUUCAUAUUAAGCUACCAGCAGUAUCCAUGCAACAAACCCAGUAUUGCCCAGCAACAGCUUCAUCAGCAGCAGUGGUCAAUUAAGCUGUCAACCAUGUUUUGGCAGCCAAGGCGCAGUAGUUUGUUGAAACGUUGACCCACACCUCUCAGAGCAGAUCAGUGGGCUUUGAUGUCGCAGCACAUCAACUCAAAGAGAUCCAUGCGAGGUCAGCCCUCACAACAGUGCCAUACCAUGACGUCCUCCAACUCACCCCAGUACUCACCUUGGUGUCAGGGAAAAAUUCAAGACACUAAUCAACACAAUCAAAUGGGCCAAUCAGAAAGACAGCCUGUUGCAUCAGUUAGUCAUACCUUGGAAGAUCAGUUAUAAAUAAAAUUUAAACACAUGCUACUUUCUUAGUGCCUGCAUUGGUGUGUUAUAGCCUCGCCUUCUGUUGUGAUCAAUUACAAAAAUGGAAGAUCAGAAUUGUGGGAUGGGUUGGAAACGAGUGGCAUAGUUCAAAAUGAAAUUGCAGAAUGAAAGUCAUGUGGCCAACCAUAAAGUAGUGUGGCAUUGUGGCAUGUGACCAGCGAAUACAUUUCAUGUAUUAUGGGCAUUAUAAUGCUGUCAAUGAUUUGAUGUUAAUGAUUUUUGUUAAAUGAAGUCAGCAUAGGUAGUAGAAAUGAAGUGAAUAUUACUUGUUUUAAGAUUCUGAAAUUAUCACUCUUCAUUUUGAUCCAGAUUUUGGAAAAACUAAAUAAAGAGUUCGCAUAUGCUGACUUUCAGCUUAAGCAAAGUUGUUUAAAUAAUACAAGUAACUUGUACAAAUUGUCAUAUUCAUUGUCUUCUUUUCAUUAAAUAAAACAUAUUUCAGUAUUGUUUUACCAGUAAUAUAGCUUGACAUGCUAUUUUUUAAAGAAAGAUUCAAAAUUUUGACACUUCUAUUUUGAUCUUUCUGUAUUUCAGUCUGUAUACAAUACUUAUAAGUUUGCUUAGAGGACUCGGUAUUUUACCAAGAAUCGUGUGUAGUCUCAUACAAUUUAAAAUGCAAAAUAUUAAUUAAUUUACGACAAACUUGUUUUAUCUGCUGUAAAUUGUAAAUUCUGUAUUGACAACUGGUAUUAUUAUUAAAUAUUUACACAAUUUCAUCAUAUUUUAAAAGCUGUAUACAUGUUCAAAACGCUGAUAAUAGACACAAAACCUAUGUUGUCAUUAUUUGAAAGAGGAUUGUUUGAAAUGAAUAAAAUUUGAAAGGUUAUCUUAACUUAAUAUGAUAUGGAAAGACUAUAAUUCUGUGGAAUGUUUUCAAUUAAUUCAUUUAUUAUGAUGAGAUUAUUCGUGAAUACUAACCAACGUUAUAAUUAUAAAUAGCUUAUGGUGGAUAACACACUUAUAACUAACACUUAUCUCUAGUGUUGACGUUUGUAUUCGGACAGAAUAGUUCAUGAUGCUUUGUAUACACUGUGCAGGCUCGUAUUGAAACCAGAUUUUAAUGUGUGUAAAUGUGAUAAGUGAUAUAACUUGACCAAGAUUUUGAAAUCACUUUAGUAUACAGGUAUAUAUAUAUUUACAUUAUGCUCUUCUUGAUAUAUAGCAAAAUGCAUCCAUAGCCGUUGUAAAUUAUUUAUGAUUUGUGUUUUGUUUCAAUUUGAUGAACACACUGAUGUUUUACGUGCAUAUUUUAGUUGAAAGACAAUAAAAAUAACCUUGUUUGUGUGAAUGAUCAUAUGUAACUUGUAAGAUUUUAUAGCUAUAUCAAAAUAAAAUAUAUUGAAAACAAAAAUAUAUUAAGUAAUAGAAACACAUUGUUUUAUACGAUCAUACGUUUAACACAUCCAAUAACAAUCUCAGCACAUAUUGACAAUAUUUUUAAUUAUGAAGGAAAUCAUGUCAAAAAAUAUUAAUAUGUGGAAAUUUGGAGAACAAUUUCUUAUCAAGUGAGAGCAAUGGGAUGUGCUUGAAAUUGUCAAUAACUGCAAUUUUAAGUAAUAUGUAUUUAGUAGUUUAGGUUAAAUUGAAUUCUCCAUGCUCAACAAACACUUGUGUAUUUGUUAUAACAAAAUUCAUAAUUAAUGAAAUUUGUAAAAAAUCAAUUUGAUAGAAUGACAAUAGAGUGUUGUAAUUCUGACUAAUAUUAAAGCAUGCACUGCACAAUAUAAUAUGGCACUUCAAUAUAUUCAUACACUUUUAUGAUAUUAUUAUACUUGCUAAUUAUUUUAUAUUUGACAUAUAACUGACCCUUAAAAAGUUUUACACAUAUCUUAAGCCAGACUUCCCCAUAAAAUCUGAUUGUUUAUAUUCAAACUUUAAUUCAAAUCAAAUGUGUUUUGUGUUGUUCAACAAGUAAAUAACCUUUGUUUAUGUACAUUUUAUGUCAUAUUUCAAUAACGUAUUAUAUUGAUAUUUACAGUGAGAAUAAAAUACACAUUUUAUUAUGCCCCCCUUCGAAGAAGAGGGGGUAUAUUGCUUUGCACAUGUCGGUCGGUCGGUUGGUCGGUCCGUCCACCAGGUGGUUUCCGGAUGAUAACUCAAGAACGCUUAGGCCUAGGAUCAUGAAACUUCAAAGAUACAUUGAUCAUGACUCGCAGAUGACCCCUAUUGAUUUUGAGGUCACUAGGUCAAAGGUCAAGGUCACCGUGACCCGAAAUAGUAUAAUGGUUUCCGGAUGAUAACUCAAGAACACUUAUGCCUAGGAUCAUAAAACUUGAUAGGGAGAUUGAUCAUGACUUGCAGAUGACCCCUAUUGAUUUUCAGGUCACUAGGUCAAAGGUCAAGGUCACGGUGACCCAAAAUAGUGAAAUAGUUUCUGGAUGAUAACUAAAGAACGCUUAGGCCUAGGAUCAUGAAACUUCAUAGGUAGAUUGAUAAUGACUGGCAGAUGACCCCUAUUGAUUUUCAGGUCACUAGGUCAAAGGUCAAGGUCAUGGUGAUCCGAAAUAGUAAAAUGGUUUCCGGAUGAUAACUCGAGAAUGCUUAUGCCUAGGAUCAUGAAACUUCAUAGGUACAUUGAUCAUGACUCGCAGAUGACCCCUAUUGAUUUUCAGGUCACUAGGUCAAAGGUCAAGGUCACGGUGACCCGAAAUAGUAAAAUGGUUUUCGGAUGAUAACUCAAGAACACUUAUGGCUAGGAUCAUGAAACUUCAUAGGUACAUAAUGAUCAUGACUCACAGAUGACCCCUAUUGAUUAUCAGGUCACUAGGUCAAAGGUUAAGGUCACCGUGACAAAAAACAUAUUCACACAAUGGCUGUCAAUACAACGGAGAGCCCUAAUGGGGGGGGUAUGCAUGUUUUACAAACAGCCCUUGUUUUAAUUUGUAUCAUUGUUUAGCUAAAUAAAAUGGUAACCAUGCAAGUGUACAAAUUAUGAUUAUUGGGCUAUAUUGGUAUGAUUAAUUUUUAUCUUUCGCCCAACACCAACGUGACAUUUUGCUAUGGUAAGGCUCUGUUGUAUUAAGUGAAUUGUAUGGAAAUAGCUCCAAGGCCUUUAUGAAGAGCCUGUGUAACACAUCAUGAUCUUUGACUCAUCAAUUGAUUGCAUCAUUUUGUCUCACGUGCGUCAAUAUCUUCAUAUCGUAGAUAACUUCGUCUCUGCUUGUAAGUGAAUUUUAAUUAUUCAUGUUUAGAUAUUUCUCUAAACUGUAAACAUACGUGUUAAAUAACCGUAUCAUUAUUUUACUGUCUGUGUAAUUAAAUUAAAUAUUUUCUAUAGUAUUCUGUCAAUCAGUGGUUUGUUUGAAAAGGUAUGUAAUAAUAAUGUGUAUGUAUAUAUGUAUAUUUGUUGAACAAAGUUUGUUGUUCCACUUUUGUUAAUGUACAUAGCUAUCCCUUGAGUGGAAAUAAUGUUGUACGUUUACUAUUUAUUGAUAUCAAAAUAAAAAAAAGAUAUUUGUUUUCUUACUUCUAUAUAACUUUUCAUUAUUUGAAUAAAGCCCCCCUCAACUGGGAGA